UACGGGGGGGGCAAGCGUUGUUCGGAAUUACUGGGCGUAAAGGGCUCGUAGGUGGCCAACUAAGUCAGACGUGAAAUCCCCCGGCUUAACCUGGGAACUGCGUCUGAUACUGGACGGCUUGAGUGCGGGAGAGGGAUGUGGAAUUCCAGGUGUAGCGGUGAAAUGCGUAGAUAUCUGGAGGAACACCGGUGGCGAAGGCGGCAUCCUGGACCGACACUGACGCUGAGGCGCGAAAGCCAGGGGAGCAAACGGG
rnacentral:rRNA from 1 species